UUCCGGUUGAUCCCGCCGGACCUGACUGCUAUCGGAUUGAUACUAAGCCAUGCGAGUCUUUGCAGUAAUGCAAGGCAUACGGCUCAGUAACACGUAGUCAACUUACCCUAUGGACGAGGAUAAUCUCGGGAAACUGAGCAUAAUACUCGAUAGAUCAUAAUGCCUGGAAUGGUUUAUGGUUAAAAUGAUUCGUCGCCAUAGGAUGGGACUGCGGCCUAUCAGCUUGUUGGUGAGGUAAUGGCCCACCAAGGCGAUUACAGGUACGGGCUCUGAGAGGAGAAGCCCGGAGAUGGGUACUGAGACAAGGACCCAGGCCCUAUGGGGCGCAGCAGGCGAGAAAACUUUGCAAUGUGCGAAAGCACGACAAGGUUAAUCCGAGUGAUUUCUGCUAAAGAAAUCUUUUGCAAGUCAUAAAACCACUAGUGAAUAAGGGGUGGGCAAGUUCUGGUGUCAGCCGCCGCGGUAAAACCAGCACCUCAAGUGGUCAGGAGGAUUAUUGGGCCUAAAGCAUCCGUAGCCGGCUCUGUAAGUUUUCGGUUAAAUCCAUGUGCUCAACGCAUGGGCUGCCGAAAAUACUGCAUAGCUAGGGAGUGGGAGAGGUAGACGGUACUCGGUAGGAAGGGGUAAAAUCCUUUGAUCUAUCGAUGACCACCUGUGGCGAAGGCGGUCUACCAGAACACGUUCGACGGUGAGGGAUGAAAGCUGGGGGAGCAAACCGGAUUAGAUACCCGGGUAGUCCCAGCUGUAAACGAUGCAGACUCGAUGAUGCAUUGGCAUAUAGCCAGUGCAGUGUCGCAGGGAAGCCGUUAAGUCUGCCGCCUGGGAAGUACGUACGCAAGUAUGAAACUUAAAGGAAUUGGCGGGGGAGCACCACAAGGGGUGAAGCCUGCGGUUCAAUUGGAGUCAACGCCGGG
rnacentral:rRNA from 1 species